UCGAGCUCUGCGCUCACUUCAAUUCAAACUUGCGACAUUUCAUCAGAAGUCACACAAGUGUUCGCCGAGCAGCUCGCAACUGAACUUUUACAGCAGGAGCACGGAGGGAGAGGACUCAACAAGUUGUGUUGUGUGAUGUCACGCUGUGCUGCACAUUGGUGCAGAUGACCUCCCUUUUACUGCAGCUCCCUCCAGUGGUAAAUAAGACCUUUGUGGCAAGUCUAUAAUCCAGAAGUUAAAAAAAG